UUCAGAUGGUCUGUCAGCUUUACAUACAAUGGUGGAGAGACAAUAGUGAUUCGGGUGUAUUUGGACAAUCAUCACUUUGCUGUAGGCAUGGAACAUCCAGGAGGAAAAAUAAAAGUAAUAAAAAUUUCCCAUUAGUUGAAAAGCAAAUGUUAUAGCUCAACUAUAGUUGGAGUUCGUUCUGUAUCAAAAAGAUGAUCAAUGUGCUAAAACGGAGGGUCAGUGAAAAAGUGGACAGAUAAAUACUUUUUUAAGAGUAUAUUUAUGAUAUUAAGCAUUUAUGUAAUGAAUUGGAUAGUUUGGUGUCUGUGUGUUUUUGUUGUUUGCUUUGUUGUUGUUUUUGGUUGUUUUUGUUACCCUAAAACUAUACAAUAUAUUCAGUACUUAUCUCUAUGUCCAUAACAUUUUGAAUGUUGUAUAUUUCAAUAUACAGAAACCAUUAUUGAUAAAAAAUAUUCCUUCCUAUGUGCCUUUAAAAACACAAUGUAUUAAUAUAUGAAAGUAAAAAAGAAAACAAUAAAUUCAGGUUCAUUUAAAUAAUUUGAUAAUUUGGUAAUAUGCUAAAGAAUACGAGAACGCAUUCAACGCCGCGAGUACAUAAUCGGAUCAUUGAAAUGUUUGGAUGUGCUAUUGUUACAAAUUAUGCACAUUUAUUGAAUUCGUCAUAUUAGUCCAUUCGUUUUGUUUAUCAAGUUUAUAUGUAUAUAUUUUUUGCCUGGUUAUAUCAUCAUAUAUGAUUCCUGAUAUUCGCCCAUACCUGUCCC